AAACUAGGAUUAGAUACCCUAUUAUUUUAGAGCUUUACAUUGUAAGUAAAUAAUAAUUACGAAAGCAAAAAAUUAUGGCGGUAUUUUAAGCUUUUCAGAGGAAUUUGCUCUUUAAUGGAUAAAACACCUAAAUCUUACUUAAAUUUGUUAGGCCAAUUUGUAUACCACUAUUAAAUUAAUUAAUAAUUUUAAUUUAUAAAAUUUAUAUAAAUUUAAAAAAAAUUAAGUCAAGGUGCAGUAAAAAUUUAAGAAUGAAGUGAAUUACAAUUCUCUUAAGAGAUUAUUUAAAUUAAAAUUUUAAUUUAGGAUUUGAAAGUAAAAUUAAAAUAGAAUGUUAAUUUGAAUAAAGCUCUAAAAUAUGUACACAUCGCCCGUCGCUCUCAUU
rnacentral:rRNA from 1 species